UAUAAAAUAAUAUCCUUUGCAUAGUCUAUUUAAAUGAUCAGCCAUAAACAGAAGUUCAAAGCCUACUAGAAGGCUCUCAUUGUGAAAAAUGAUUUGGUCUUAGAGACUUAUGUUACGCACUAGUAAGGGUUGGAGAAAGUAACUGAAUAAGUAUGUGUAAAGAAUUUUUUUUUUUUAAAGCGAGUCAGAAAACCGAUGGGCAAAUGGGCAGCGGACCACCAGCUCUGCUCCUGGUCGGCCAACAGUGGUCCACUGGUAUUUUGCUAUCAGGGAUAGUUCAGACCGGAAAGCAAAUCCUGUGAUAGGCUACGUUUUGCAAGUAUGAAAUUACAAUUGCAAUUAGUUUUUUUUUGCAGAUUGUUCUGCAGGGUCUGGUUAUAUCAGGCUAGCAUGAGAUAAUUAAGUGGCGUAUUUCCUCCCCCAGGAGAGCAUUAAGUGUAAAAGGCACGGUCUACGACCGUAAUUUCAUACACUUUUUGUUAAAUUCAGCGAUUUUUUCCAUCUAGCCGUUAGCGUUCAAAAAAUGGGGUUCAUGCACAGACCUGGCUAUGUAAAUGUGAAACAAACAUAGUGACUUGGACCGAGCCGUUAACAAUCCCAGCCAAUUAACAAGGUGUCAUUUGCUUGGCUGUUGAGCUCAAAUAUCACCUUUCGCGAAACCGAAAUCGCGGACUGUAUCUUUAAGUUCCUGUUUACAACUCUGACAAUCAUCCCGAAUGUUACAGUAGCCUAGCUUUAGAUUAUUGACAAAUUAAAAUGUGUGCAUUGACAGAGCUUAGCCUAACCUGUCACAGAAACCCAUGCAUUGAUAGCCAACUGUCACUGCUUAGCUAUAGAUAAACCACACCGCUGUAGGACAACUUAUGUCCACGUGUCUAUCAAAGAUCAUGUUGGACUUUGACUCAGGACCCAUUGCGAUUUAGCCGCCACAAAGGUACUUUCAAGACAAUGCUGACGCAACAACAAUUGUGACAACCGGACAACUGUGUCAUGGCACCGCGCUGUUACAUCAGAGUAUGACAAACAUCGUUCUGACCAAAAUGAACUCGACACAAGUAAAAAUCAAACUUGCAAGGGGUUAAUGUACCUCUGUAGCCAGAUGCUACAGGACACGUUUUAAGCAGCAUAAUUUCGGUAUGAAGUGCCAUUCAAAAAGAGACAGAGGACCAGGUCAUGGUGGGCAGGCAAACAGGAAGAGGGAUAAGCGGGGACGACAGCCAUGCAGCGUGAGAAAGCUGAGAUCUAACAGGAAAAAAAGCAAUGAAUUGAAAUGGGAGAGAGAGAGAGGGGGACCCGACAAGAGAGAUUGUUUGAAGAAGAAGGGGCCACACAGCAAGUCCACACCCAGCCCCAUGCCUCCUGUGACAGUCAAGGAGGGAGAGAAGGGUAAAGAGACCUGUGAGGAGAGAGAGAUAGAUAACAAGGAGAUGGGAACUAGUGGUGUGGUGGAAGGUAAGAGGAGCAGUGGUGUGAGACAUGAGGUGAGACAGGUGAAGAGGCCGCUGAGGAAGAAACCGCACAUUUUCUACCUCAGAACCGAGUUGUGUCAGAGAACCUUGCUGUCAGUCACCAGAACCGCAUCAGGCUCUGAGGUCCCUCCAUCACCAGCGUCACCAUCACACAGCCUGGGAGCAAAUCAACCAGAUGAAUUCGUGAAGAUCUACAGCACCGGUGGCAUUCUGGGAAAGGGAGGGUGUGGGUCAGUCUACUCUGGAAUGAGGAAAUCAGACGGA